rnacentral:lncRNA from 1 species
CGCUGAAGGCUUCUCGCAGGCAACUGGCUGCCAAAUUUCACGUCAGCAACCUCAGCCUGCACUUCUGAACAGCAAGAUUCAAUGAGAGCCUUUGAUUCUUCAUGAAAAGAUGGGUCCAGUGCUCCAGGGUGCAUCCAUCCUGUGACUCCCGCCUGCUCUGGACAGGACCAGAGGACAUGUGGACAUUAGUACA